UACAGAGGCCUCAAGCGUUGUUCGGAUUCAUUGGGGCGUAAAGGGUGCGUAGGCGGCGCGGUAAGUCGGGUGUGAAAUCUCGGGGCUUAACUCCGAAACUGCAUUCGAUACUGCCGUGCUUGAGGACUGGAGAGGAGACUGGAAUUUACGGUGUAGCGGUGAAAUGCGUAGAUAUCGUAAGGAAGACCAGUGGCGAAGGCGGGUCUCUGGACAGUUCCUGACGCUGAGGCACGAAGGCCAGGGGGAGCAAACGGGG
rnacentral:rRNA from 1 species